rnacentral:rRNA from 1 species
UACGUAGGGUGCAAGCGUUAAUCGGAAUUACUGGGCGUAAAGCGUGCGCAGGCGGUUUUGUAAGUCUGUCGUGAAAUCCCCGGGCUUAACCUGGGAAUGGCAUUGGUGACUGCACGGCUAGAGUGUGUCAGAGGGGGGGUAGAAUUCCACGUGUAGCAGUGAAAUGCGUAGAUAUGUGGAGGAACACCGAUGGCGAAGGCAGCCCCCCUGGGUCAAAAACUGACGCUCAUGCACGAAAGCGUGGGGGAGCAAACAGG